GCCGUUUUAAGGCCCGUUUAGAGUAUGGUGUUAUUUUACGCGGGGAAACUGAAACCAGGCCUCUGGCGGGCCUUUUUCGCGCCAAAGCUAGAGUUCCCUCGUGUUUUUUUUUUUUUUUUUGCCUCUGCACCCUUAUCCAUCUGCACGACGCACGGCCGCCAGGGACUUCCUCUCCUCUGCGCGCCCAGCCGCCGGCGCUGCUUCCUCUCCUCUGCGCGCCCAGCCGCCGGCGCUGCUUCCUCUCCUCUGCGCGCCCAGCCGCCGGCGCUGCCUCCUCCAUCCUCUCCUCUGCUCACCCAGCCGCCCAGGUAGGGCUCCUCCCUCCUCUCCUCUGCUCGCCCAGGGCUCCUCCUUCUCCUCUCCUCUCAAUCUCCUCUCAUCUCAGCAGUGGUUCUGCAGUGGAAGAGAGGCACGCACGCCCAGGGAUAGAGGGGGCGCGCUAGCAGGAAGCUGAAGCAGGGACUCCCCAUCCUUUGUUUGUUGCCAGGAUGUCAUCGGCGGCUUCCAAUCCAUCAGCUCAACCAGCAGUGGACAAGCAACCACUUAAGCGGAAUAGCGAUGACAUAGGGUGGGAGUAUGGAACUAUUGUCAAUCCAAAUGAUUGGAAUGUCAUAAAAUGUACAUAUCUCAAAUUGGGACAAGGACAACAAAAGCUUCAUGUUUGCUUCAAAAAAGGUUAGGAAAAAAUCUUUUUUAUCCUGCUGAAACUAUGCUACAGUAACAUACCGUUUAGGCCGUUUAAUUCCGUCUAAACACGUCUAAACACGUCUAAACCUUAGACAGCUCCUCACCGUCCGUCUACCGUUUUCCGUCUAAGAAAACACUGGUAAUAAUAUGCUAGAAUUUUGUAUAUAUGGCCCCAAAAAGCACCAAAACUCAAAAAGGUAGCAGCCAAGCUUGUCUGAGCCGUGCCGUGUGAAGCACAUAUGCUAGUACUCACCGAUCACCUUGAUCCACCAGUGCUGACUCCAUGGAGUGUGACUCCACAUAGGAGAACAACUUAGGACACUAGUCCACAAGGCUGAAGAAAUCACUGUAGGUAAGUAGGUUCCCUUCCCUUAAGUGUAGUUUCAAAAUUCUAAAUUGGGAAUCGAAUCCAAUCAUUAGGGAACAGACCUCACCGCCAUACACGAGUUAAUCAAAAUUGUUAUUUUUGUGAAUUGUCUAACAAAUGGUUAUCCAUUAGCCUAAAGACUAAUCGUCGACCAGCACUAUACAGUAUACACUCAGCUGCAUUAGUCAUUACAAGUUGCAAUCAUGAGCAGUGUUAAAAAAAAUGUAAGUACGUAACUAAAUGCACAAUGAGCGCACAACCGGCGAUCAGAUACCAGUGUGUCGUUUAGGCCCUGCAUGGCCAAUUAAAUGCUAGUGUGUUGUUUAGGCCCUGCAUGGCCAAUUAAAUUUUGGACAGCAUCGAACCGACAGCAAGGCACCUGCUGGACAGGUAAGAUCAGCACAUGCACGAAAACAAAGAAAAAAAAUAAAAGCAAGGCGUGGGAAAGAGAACACGUGCUGAUAUGGUUGGGAUUUAGGGACAAGGGAGCAUGAAAAGUUGCAUGUAGAUAAGGAUAAUGGGCUGACAACUAGGUUACCAAAAGGAACUCAAGUUUCUCAUGCCAUCAGCCCUAGCGCCACAGUCAUUCCCUCUCCAAAUGUAAGGACAACUAGACACCACCACACCCCCCCCCACCCACCCACCCUCAAUCAACCCCUUCUUCUUCACCUCCAUGGCUCCUCGGAUGGGGUCAUCAACCUCCACGCCUCCCCGUGCUUCUCAGGUGUGUUCCACACUUCCCAUUCUAGACUUCUCAUGCAAUCUGCAUGAAAUCAA